rnacentral:rRNA from 1 species
CCCAGACUCCUACGGGAGGCAGCAGUGGGGGAUAUUGCACAAUGGGGGGAACCCUGAUGCAGCGACGCCGCGUGGGUGAAGGAGCGUUUCGGCGCGUAAAGCCCUAUCGGCAGGGAAGAAGGAGGACGGUACCUGACUAAGAAGCCCCGGCUAACUACGUGCCAGCAGCCGCGGUAAUACGUAGGGGGCAAGCGUUAUCCGGAUUUACUGGGUGUAAAGGGAGCGUAGACGGCGAUGCAAGUCUGAAGUGAAAGGCGGGGGCCCAACCCCCGGACUGCUUUGGAAACUGUAUGGCUGGAGUGCUGGAGAGGCAAGCGGAAUUCCUAGUGUAGCGGUGAAAUGCGUAGAUAUUAGGAAGAACACCAGUGGCGAAGGCGGCUUGCUGGACAGUAACUGACGUUGAGGCUCGAAAGCGUGGGGAGCAAACAGGAUUAGAUACCCGGGUACU